GCUUCAUUUUGAAAAAUAUUCACUAAGCAGAGAGCUUCUACGAUUUCAUUGGGAACUUGUGCAGCAGUUGGUGGCAUGGUAGAGGUGCAGAAAACAUCGAUACCUCGAUGUUUUGGAAAAAUGAAAAACAUCGAUGUUUAUUUUUGACCAUCGAUGUUUCGGUACCAUCACUUUAAGAAGAAGAAGGAGCAAUAAACAAGUGUAUAGGUUUGUAAUUUGUCACUUAUUUUUUAUUAUAUUAAUUAUAACGUUUAAUCCAUUUACUUUCAAUUAUAGGGCAUGCGAUUGGUUGGCGCUGUGUGUUUUAUAAAGAUGGAUAAGUUCUUAAAUCGUACAACAAAGGAAAACGAAGCUCCGUCUUACAAACGGAAGCGGCAAUCCUCCAAUGUGUGGCAGCAUUUUAAUAAACAUCAGGACAAUGCAACGGCUACCUGUCUUCACUGUGGCAAAAUUUUGAAAAUGUCGGGAAAUACGACAAACCUAAAAAAUAUUCAUCCGAAUUAUAAAAAUUUCGAAACCGAUAAUGAGUCACCGGGGUUGGAUAAGUAUGUGCAACGGAAUGCAGUUUAUCCGCCAGAAAAAUAAACUGGACAGAUACGUAAUGCUCAUGAUAGCACGCGAUGUGCAACCGUUUUCUAUAGUUGACGACGAAGGUUUCCGGGAUUUAAUACACCACCUGGACCCGAAAUAUAAAAUGCCGAGCAGAACUUAUUUUAGAGACACAAUGUUACCUGAGCUGUACACUAACUUGAGAAAGGACGUUGAAUGUGAGCUCGAAGGAGUACAGUAUGUGGCCCUUACGACGGAUGGAAGGAAUUCACGUGCAAAUGAAGCAUACUUAACAGUAACCUGUCAUUUCGUUACGAAAAAAUUCGAGCUGGUAUCAGUCCUAUCAGUCCAGCAGUCCAGCAGUCCUAUCGACGGCGGGUCUAGUAACGCCCACCAAUCACACAGCAAUGAAUGAGGCAGAUGCUAUUCGGUAGAAUUUAAAUGAGUGGGGCCUUCAAAAUAAAGUUAUAAGUAUUGUUAUAGACAACGACCCAACCAUGAGAAGGCUUGCGAACAUCUGGAUAUUAAAAAUUUUACAUGUUUUGCACAUUCCAUUAACAUGCUCGUUCAAGAAAUACUCAAAAUGGAAAUAAUUCGACCAUUACUGACAAAGUGCAAGACAGUUGUCGCAUUCAUUAAGAGAAGCUCAACUACAAUGGCAAAAUUCAAAAACGCACAAAAGGUUACUGACCCCCUUGGCAUUAUUCAGGAGGUACCCACAAGGUGGAAUAGUGCCUUUGAAAUGAUACAGAGAAUUUUGAGUACAAAAGAGGCCCUCUCAGUUGCAUUGCUAGAAACUGCAAGGGCUCCUCCGCCUGUCUCUGCUGAUGAAAUAAAUGUGUUAAAAGAACUUUGUUCCUUACUUCGUCCCUUUGUGAAGGCAACCAAAUUAAUAUCGGGCGGAAAGUACCCUACCAUGUCGCUAGUUAUACCGAUGAUUGGCGAAAUGCAAACACAAGUUUUGUCAUUCAAAAAUAUCUUUAAAAGCCCAGAAGCCAUUCUUGCCUUUGACUCUUUGAGUGGUCGUUUUAAAGAGCGUUUUGGGCAUUAUGAAACACGCACGGUUCCAAGGAUUGCCACAAUAAUAGACCCGCACUUUAAAAAACAAGGUUUUCUUUCGACUUACCAUGCAGAGCAAGCUUGUCAUGCAUUGGAAGAGGAGCUUCAAAGUGCCAUAAAAAAGUUGUCACGUGAAUAAUCCAAAUCAGCGUCGCAAACGCCUACGCCACCAAAUGAUCCAGGUUCUUCAACUUAUUUUACUACGCUACUAUUGAAGUUAAAAACAAAUAUAAGUACAUCGCGAUCAGACGCCAUUAUACUGCUCAGGCAGCAUACAGAGACAGUAAACGAGACUGAAACUUGCGAUCCACUAAGUUUCUGGAAGGAGAGUUCAAAGAUCAUGGAUCCGAUUAAGGAAGUGGUGAAAAAAUAUCUAUGCGUGCCUGCAACGUCCUGCGAGUCGGAACGGGCUUUUAGUAAAGCAGGACGAAUCAUAUCCGAUCGCCGUACCCGUCUCAAGGCAGACAUCGUCGAUCAACUAAUGUUCAUAAAUAAAAAUUAUGAAAACUUUAAGAAAUAAUAUUAGAUAUUAAUUAGUUAAUAUUAAUAAGUUUGAUCUCAUGAAGUUGUUUUUUGUUUGAUAAAUU